GGAGAUAUCAUUUUCGAAGCGAUUAGUUUACUAAGAGUGGAGAUGUUGGUAUCUUAGUGGCGGACGGGUGAGUAACGCGUGGGUAACCUGCCUUACACUGGGGGAUAACACUUAGAAAUAGGUGCUAAUACCGCAUAACAGGGAAAGAUGCAUGUCUUUUCCUUAAAAACUCCGGUGGUGUAAGAUGGACCCGCGUCUGAUUAGCUGGUUGGCGGGGUAACGGCCCACCAAGGCGACGAUCAGUAGCCGGCCUGAGAGGGUGAACGGCCACAUUGGGACUGAGACACGGCCCAAACUCCUACGGGAGGCAUCAGUGGGGAAUAUUGGACAAUGGGGGGAACCCUGAUC
rnacentral:rRNA from 1 species